ACGACAGCAGACUUUCACUUUCAGUCUUUAAGAAGGGAAGUGUACGGAGUGUGGAGUUCUUCAUGUUGGACAAAGAGCCGGUGAGAGACAGGGGGCCUUGGGAGAAAUCUUGCACGAGAAUCGAGAUGGGAUGGAUAGUUGGAGGUUCAUCCAGCGGUGGAGAUGACACAUGGAGAUCGUCAUUUACUGGACUGAAAAUAAGACUGAUCAACUGCCUGAGGGACACCUUGAUCCCUAAAUAAUAUAUAUGUCUUGUGCAUAAAGGGAUUGUGUGGGCGGUGAGGACGAGGAGCCCGGGGACGGCUCAAGCUGGAGUGGACUGGUGGUGUCUGUGCUCUCACUGUUUGCCUAUGGACACAGACAUGGAGUCUGUUUUCUGCCCUAAUGUUUCUGGUAG